GAAACCAUCAGAGUGGCAUUAGAGGUGACGCAAAGGGGCAAGUGGCCUUGUUGUCCCGGACCAACGCCAACGUGUUUGAUGAGGCCGUACGGGUGACGGAAGGGGAAUUCCCUUCAAGGAUACAUUUGAUUGGGGGGAUUAAAUCAUUUGGAUUGGACAGAAUCAUUGAUAUUUGGAUCCUUCUUCAGCCAGAGGAAGAACGGAGGAAACGUGAGUACCCACCUGGCCUUGGUGCAUUGGAAGGACGCACCCAAGUGACAGGGACGAGAAAGAAGCAGGCCCAGUCUGAGUCAGGGACCCGUUUCCCUCCAGAGAAGGGCGAGCUAGUGUUGCUGUCUUCCCAUGACGAGGGGGGUGCCUCGGGCCUCCUGUUUUCAUAGGUACUGACAGAUUUUUCCAGAUCCUCCUCACAGGAGCCUCAGUCUCUUUCCAACACUGGUCCCAUAGACUGUCUUCCCCUGCAUCCUUCUGUCUGCCUGGGCCAAUUUAUACGUUGAUACUUCCACGUGGGCCCCAAGUGAUAGCGUCGAGCAUUUCUAUAGCGCUUUUCUUUUCCUGUUGACUGCACUAUUUCAAAUCCCUGUGAAGUAGGUGAGGAUCUUGAGCCGAGGGCUUUGCUCCUCAGUCGGAGACGGAGAGGCUACUGCACUGCACUGACUUGCCCAGGGACACACAGCGAGUUAGUGAUGCAGUCAGGCCUGGAACCCGGGUCUCCCCACUUUAAGACCAUCUGCUCUUGCGCAGCUGCUUAGGAACGUGCAGCACCUGCCACCAUCUGUUAGUGGAGCUUGUGUCACCUUAAUUUGUGUGUAUAUUCUUCUUAGAAAACCUCGUCAUUAAAGACAAAUUUAUCAGAAGAUGGGUGCACAAAGAAGGCUUUAGUGGCUUCAAGAGGUAUGUGACCGCUGCCGA
rnacentral:lncRNA from 10 species